rnacentral:rRNA from 1 species
UCCCGAGGUCUCAAGCGUUGUUCGGAUGCAUUGGGCGUAAAGGGCGCGUAGGCGGCCAGGCAAGUCGGGUGUGAAAGCUUGGGGCUUAACCCCGAAAGGGCACUCGAAACUGCGUUGCUAGAGGGCCGGAGAGGAGAUCGGAAUUCACGGUGUAGCAGUGAAAUGCGUAGAGCUCGUGAGGAAGACCGGUGGCGAAGGCGGAUCUCUGGACGGCCCCUGACGCUGAGGCGCGAAGGCUAGGGGAGCAAACAGG